rnacentral:tRNA from 1 species
UUAAAGCAUCUCGCUUACACCGAGAAGACAUCUGUGAAAACCAGAUUAUUUCGA